rnacentral:rRNA from 1 species
UACGGAGGGUGCAAGCGUUAAUCGGAAUUACUGGGCGUAAAGCGUGCGCAGGCGGUUUGUUAAGUCUGCUGUGAAAGCCCAGAGCUCAACUCUGGGAUUGCCUUGGAUACGGGGAGACUUGAGGAUCGGAGAGGCAAGGGGAAUUCCACGUGUAGCGGUGAAAUGCGUAGAGAUCGGGAGGAACACCAGUGGCGAAGGCGGCCUUCUGGACCAAUACUGACGCUCAUGCACGAAAGCGUGGGGAGCAAACAGG